rnacentral:rRNA from 1 species
ACUACGGGAGGCAGCAGUGAGGAAUAUUGGUCAAUGGGCGGAAGCCUGAACCAGCCAAGUCGCGUGAGGGAAUAAGGCCCUACGGGUCGUAAACCUCUUUUGCCGGGGCGCAAGGGCGGGGACGUUUCCCGGCCCGGAGAGUACCCGGAGAAAAAGCAUCGGCUAACUCCGUGCCAGCAGCCGCGGUAAUACGGAGGCUGGGAGCGUUAUCCGGAUGUAUUGGGUUUAAAGGGUGCCUAGGCGGGCUUUUAAGUCAGCGGUAAAAUGUCGGGGCUCAACCCCGUCCGGCCGUUGAAACUGGGGGCCUUGAGUGGGCGAGAAGAAGGCGGAAUGCGUGGUGUAGCGGUGAAAUGCAGAGAUAUCACGCAGAACCCCGAUUGCGAAGGCAGCCUUCCGGCGCCCUACUGACGCUGAGGCACGAAAGUGCGGGGAUCGAACAGGAUUAGAUACCCGAGUAGUC